rnacentral:lncRNA from 1 species
CGAUAGACCGAACAAUACCUAAGCGAGGAAUUGAACUCAGGCCGGCGUCGUACAGAGCUUGCUCGGUGACGAGCUCUCUUUGCUUUGACACCGACACAUCCUUCAGUCGGUGAAAGUCCUCUCGGUCUCCAGCCUCUAUCUGACUGUUUUUGUUCGACUGAGUCCGAGGGUCACCCCAGCGAGAAGGAAACCCCCAAGA